UAUAAGUCUCCACCGCCACCUUCGCCUUCGCCACCACCUCCUUAUGUGUAUAAAUCCCCACCACCUCCGGUGCAUUCUCCUCCACCACCCCCAAUGCAUUCUCCUCCACCACCGUAUGAGUACAAAUCACCACCACCCCCGGUGCACUCACCACCUCCUCCGUAUGAGUAUAAAUCACCACCACCCCCGGUGCAUUCUCCUCCUCCGCCCUAUGAGUACAAGUCACCACCACCUCCGGUGCACUCACCACCUCCUCCAUAUGAGUACAAAUCACCACCACCUCCGGUGCAUUCUCCACCUCCACCAUAUGAGUAUAAAUCACCACCACCACCUUCACCAUCCCCACCACCACCAUAUGUGUACAAGUCUCCACCACCACCCGUCAAAUCCCCACCUCCACCAUACCACUACUCAUCACCACCACCACCCGUAAAAUCCCCACCUCCACCAUACCACUACUCCUCCCCACCACCACCUGUAAAAUCACCUCCUCCACCUUAUCAUUACUCAUCUCCACCACCACCAGUCAAAUCCCCACCACCACCAUACCACUACUCAUCACCUCCACCACCCGUAAAAUCACCACCUCCACCAUACUACUACAAGUCCCCACCACCUCCAGUUAAAUCCCCACCACCACCAUACUACUACCAUUCUCCUCCUCCCCCAGUGAAGUCACCACCUCCACCAUACCACUACAACUCUCCUCCACCACCCAAGCAUUCUCCACCACCACCUUACUACUACAAGUCUCCACCACCCCCCGUCAAGUCACCACCCCCACCAUACUACUAUCACUCUCCACCACCCCCAAUGAAGUCACCACCCCCACCAUACUACUACAGCUCACCACCACCACCCGUCAAGUCCCCACCACCACCAUACUACUACAGUUCACCACCACCACCGGUGAAAUCCCCGCCACCCCCAUACUACUACACAUCCCCACCACCACCAGUGAAAUCUCCACCACCUCCUUACUAUCCUCACCCUCAUCAUCACUCAUACACCGUGAAGGUAGUAGGAAAGGUUUACUGUUACAGAUGCUACGACUGGAAGUACCCAAUCAAGUCCCAUGCAAAGAUGCAC
rnacentral:lncRNA from 1 species